GCUGUCUUGAAUUUCUUUGAGUUUCUUCAAAAAAGCUAUUUUAAAUUCUCUGUAUGAAAGGUCGCAUAACUCUGUUUCUCCAGGAUUGGUCCUUAGUUUCUUACUUAGCUCAUUUGAGGAGGUCAUGUUUUCUUGGAUGGCCUUAAUGCUUGUAGAUGUUCAUUUGUGUCUGGGCAUUGAAGAGUUAGGUAUUUAUUGUAGUCUUCUCAGUCUGGGCUAGUUUGCACCUGUCCUUCUUGCGAAAGCUUUCCAGAUAUUAGAAAGGACUUGGAUAUUGUUAUCUAAGCUGUAUCUGCUUUAGGAGGCAUCCCAAGCACAGUACCACUUUGGUUUUUGCAGACUCGUAGAGGUUC
rnacentral:lncRNA from 1 species